CUACGGAGGGGGUUAGCGUUGUUCGGAAUUACUGGGCGUAAAGCGUACGUAGGCGGAUCAGAAAGUAAGGGGUGAAAUCCCAGGGCUCAACCCUGGAACUGCCUCUUAAACUCCUGGUCUUGAGUUCGAGAGAGGUGAGUGGAAUUCCAAGUGUAGAGGUGAAAUUCGUAGAUAUUUGGAGGAACACCAGUGGCGAAGGCGGCUCACUGGCUCGAUACUGACGCUGAGGUACGAAAGUGUGGGGAGCAAACAGAAUUAGAAACCCUAGUAGUCC
rnacentral:rRNA from 1 species